UACAUAGGGUGGCAAGCGUUUAUUCGGAAUAACUGGGCGUAAAGGGCGUGUAGGUGGCUUCAGAAGUUCUGGCGUUAAAUCUCUUGGCUCAACCAAGAGCUCGCGUUGGAAACCAUGGAGCUUGAGUCCUGCAGGGGUAAGCGGAAUUCCCGGUGUAGCAGUGGAAAUGCGUUGAUAUCGGGAGGAACACCAUAUGGCGA
rnacentral:rRNA from 1 species